UACGUAGGGUGCAAGCGUUGUCCGGAAUUAUUGGGCGUAAAGAGCUCGUAGGCGGUGUGUCGCGUCGGCCGUGAAAACCUGCAGCUUAACUGUGGGCGUGCGGUCGAUACGGGCAUCACUGGAGUUCGGCAGGGGAGACUGGAAUUCCUGGUGUAGCGGUGAAAUGCGCAGAUAUCAGGAGGAACACCGGUGGCGAAGGCGGGUCUCUGGGCCGUAACUGACGCUGAGGAGCGAAAGCGUGGGGAGCGAACAGG
rnacentral:rRNA from 1 species